GGCUCGUUCGACUUCUGGUGAGGUCACUGGUCUUUCAAGCCAGCUAGGUCGGGUUCAAAUCCCACACGAGUCAC
rnacentral:tRNA from 1 species